UGGGGAAUAUUGCACAAUGGGCGCAAGCCUGAUGCAGCCAUGCCGCGUGUGUGAAGAAGGCCUUCGGGUUGUAAAGUACUUUCAGUCGGGAGGAAGGUGGUAAGGUUAAUAACCUUAUCAAUUGACGUUACCGACAGAAGAAGCACCGGCUAACUCCGUGCCAGCAGCCGCGGUAAUACGGAGGGUGCAAGCGUUAAUCGGAAUUACUGGGCGUAAAGCGCACGCAGGCGGUUGAUUGAGUCAGAUGUGAAAUCCCCGGGCUUAACCCGGGAAUUGCAUCUGAUACUGGUCAGCUAGAGUCUUGUAGAGGGGGGUAGAAUUCCAUGUGUAGCGGUGAAAUGCGUAGAGAUGUGGAGGAAUACCGGUGGCGAAGGCGGCCCCCUGGACAAAGACUGACGCUCAGGUGCGAAAGCGUUGGGAGCAAACAGG
rnacentral:rRNA from 1 species